rnacentral:tRNA from 1 species
GGAGGCGUGGCCGAGCGGUUUAAGGCACUGGUCUUGAAAACCAGCGAAGGGAAACCCUUCCGUGAGUUCGAAUCUCACCGCCUCCG